CCCAGAGUUUUUGGUGAGACUGAUCCACAAACAUUUACAAACCAGAACAUUUCAAGAGUUCAAGGAUCUCAGUCCAUGAUUUUGGUCUGAUGGACUCAAAAUUCUCUUUAUUUCACUUCUACAAACUCAGCAGAGUCUCCAUCACUGCAGCCUAACCACAGUCCAGCAUGUAGAGGUUCAGUGAAUGUGGUCUGGACUCUGUGGAGGAGAGUCAUGGUUUCAGAGACGCUGUAGAAGGACAGAAUACCUGCUCUGUGAUCCAGGUACACUCCUACUCUGGAGGACUGAGGACCUGAGACAUCAGUGAGGACUUUGUUGUGAACAAAUACAUGACUUUCUUUUGAACAGUAUAAUGUCCACGAUUUGUCAUUUCCUCCAAAUAAACAAUCAUCUGAGUCCCCGUCUCUGCUGAUCGUCUCGUAUGCGACUGCUACAUAAACCCCAUUCCCUCUCCAGUCCACCUCCCAGUAACAACGUCCAGUCAGACUCUCUCUACUCAGGACCUGAGAACAGUAAGUGAAUCUGUCUGGAUGAUCAGGAUAAGACUGUAGCUGUUUCGUAAAUGUUGCUCUUCUGUUUCCAUCAGAUAAUAACAGUCGUCUGUCUGCUGUGUUUGGAUCCAGUGUGAUUCUUUGUGAAUAUCUUAAGAAACCAGCUCUGGUCUUGGGUUCUGGUUCUGGUUCUAACAGUAAAACAUCCACUUCAGUCACUGCCUGUGAGACGUUUGUCCACGUCUCUGUCAGAAGAUCCUGGAGUAUAUCUCUGACCUCUGACACAGCUGCUGUCACCUCCUCAAAGUAUCUCUGAGGACGGAUGUUGAUCCUGGGUGAGUCUGCAGGUUGACCCGGUUCUGACAGUGAGGGGUAGCUGUGCAGAAACUGGUUGUGGUCCUCUGUGAGUGAGAGCUUCUGCAGAUCAGCAUCUUUCCUCUUCAGCUCAGUGAUCUCCUGCUCCAGUUUCUCCUGAAGUUCUUUGACUCGACUCACUUCACGUUCCUGCUGGGAUCUGACCUGCUGCUCCACGUCAGAGCGGCGUUUCUCCAUCAGACGGAUCAGCUGGCUGAAGAUCUCCUGGCUGUGCUCCACAGCUUUAUCAGCAGAGCCGUUGAUAGCCUCCACCUCCUGUUGGAGCAGCUUCACAUCUUCUUCUCUGUCCUGGAUUCUCUGCUGGAUGUUUUCUCGACUCUCCUCCAGAUCUUUCUGCCUCUCAGUCCUUUCUGCCGCAGCUGAGACUGUGUUGUGACCUUUGUGUUGGUCCAAACAGCAGAGAUGACAGAUAGACUUCUUAUCAGUGCGGCAGAAGAUCUUCAUCACCUCAUCAUGACGAGAGCAGAUGUUCUCCUGGAGGUUCUUGGAGGGCUCCACCAGCUUGUGUUUCUUAUAUGAAGGUGAUUCAAAAUGAGGCUGGAGGUGAAUCUGGCAGUAAGAAACCAGACAUUGAAGACAGGACUUGACAGCCUUCAGUUUUCUCCCACUGCAGGAAUCACAGGCCACAUCUUCAGGUCCAGCCUCAGAGGGAUCAUCAGGAGCAGCUUGGAGUCCACUCUUCUUCACUUCCUCCACUAAACCUGCUAACAUGGUGUUUUUCAUCAGGACAGGCCUCGGUCUGAAGGUCCGUCUGCACUGAGGACAGCUGUAGAUCUUCUUCUCAUCCUCAGUAUCCCAGUAGGAUUGAAUACAGCUCAUGCAGAAGCUGUGUCCACAGUUAACAGUCACCGGAUCCUUCAGAAGAUCCAAACAGAUGGAACAAGAGAAAGACUCACGGUCCAGAAGAACUCCCUUCUGCGCCAUUUCAACACUCGCUGUUGACAACAACUGACUGAGUUUUAUUUCCUGAGAAGUGAAACUAGUCUGAGCUCUGAUCUCAACAACAUGUGUUUCAGCAGGAUAUCAGCUCAGCACACGUUAGUUACAACUGUAGAUCUGAAGGGGAGGGAAAGAGGAAGUGAAGAGAGCAAGGAAGUGAGUGUGCAGAGUGGAGUGAGCUGUGUGAGAGACGAGGGAGGGGAAAUUCAGCUCUUGUAUAAUUCAGGGAGAGCAGCGGCGAUGUGAAGUUUAGAGUCCUACUUGACUUUAACUGGACUUUACAGAACAAACAAACUGGAUUCACCUUUGGGAAAGAAAGCAGUCAACAGCUGCCUCCCCUCUUUCUUUUUCUUUCCUCUCUUUCUUCUUCUGAUACCAAAAAAAAUCACCAGUAUCGGAACUAUCAGCAAAUUAAUUUAUUACCACAAAAAUCACAACGCACACUCUACUGCUCCAUGAUCCUGCCUUUCCCCAGUGUUGAAAUCUGGGGAAACACAUACAAGACCAAUCUACAAAAGAUAAACACAAAAAAAGGUCAUCCGGACCAUAAAUCAUGCUGGAUACAGAGAUCACACCAGCCCUCUGUUCCUAAAAUCAGAAAUGUUAAAAUUUAAUGACAUAGUCAAUUAUAAAACGGAUCAAGUGCUGUACAAAGUAACACAAAGUAAGUUACCUGCUAAUCUACAAAAGAUGUUCAAAACCAGGGAGGGGGGCUAUAAUCUAAGGAGUGAACAUAAAUGUAUCUGUCCGAUAGACUCUUCGGUACGUUCCGCCCCCAGACUGCGAUGGUCCAAUCACAGCGUAGCAAACAAGAGUCGGACAUCAUGGCCACAUCACUCGUUAAAUCACAUGUUAUUUAGGGCUUUUUCAGAAGUUGAUUAACAAUAUAAUAUCAAGAAGAUUCAUAUUAUAUUACCACCAUGGUGAAACGUUGCUGCUGGGGGACCUGCAACAGCGACACUAGGUACCCAGAGCGUUUGAAUGGGGCAUUUUUUAUUCCUCUUCUGAAGCCGAAGCGUGCCUUGGAAAAGUGCAUGCUGUGUAUAAGUUAUGUGGCCGGCCACAUAACCAGCGUUACCUGAGGAACGUUACGAAGAAUACCUUUAUCUGCACCAAGGUAAGUUGUUUGUUGUUUAUUAGACUAUUGAUUUAACUUUAUACACUUGGUGUAUAAAAUGUAGGUAUUUAUACAGAUCUUUGUAAUUUAUUAAAAUAGAUUUUUUCUUUUUUUUUAAUUUCUAAUUUGCUAGGAAGAGGCAGGACUAGAUUAAGUCUUUGCUUCAUUCUGUUCCUUCCCAAACUGUACAUUUUGACAUACAUAUUAGGCCUGAACGAUAUAUCGUUUGACUAUCGUCAUCGCGAUGUACGUGUGUGCGAUAGUCACAUCGCAGAGCCUGCGAUAUUGGAGGUGAAUGAACUCAUUUAAUUUCAAGAGUAACCGACUGAGAUACACUCCAUGUGACUCUGCAUGUGCUGUGCAGCGAUCCACCAAUCGCCUUCGUCCUUAACUCAGUUGCCAGUCAGACUCACUUCUCAGCUGCCAAUCAGACUACCCUGCCAGCUGUCAAUCAAAAUCAGGGAGGAGAAAACCCACCCCUGCACAUGUUCUGCACAUGGAGGGAGACGCGUGUCCGCUGAGAAUUACUUUCGGAACUUUACUCAUGACUAUUAAGCCCAACAAAUAAGAACUGUAUGGGUUUUAAAUUGUACAUUUCCGUGAAUCACUCUACUAUAAGCAGUGCGCGUUUUGCGAGGUGCAUGCAAUUCUCGGAGUACAUGCGUUUCUCGGUACAGCACCGCUAACAACAACAACAACGAUCGCAAAAUGAACAACGAACAAGCGAAAACCACCGAAAAUGAAGAUUUGUUGCCAAAAAGAAAAGGAAAGUCAGUUAUCUUAAAUUAUUUCGGUUAAAAAAGGAUGAUGUCGACCAAAACACGUCUUCUGUGUUCAUCUGUUUCCACAAUAACGUCCCAGCACAAUAAAAGCUAAAAAUAUCUCUGAGACAGACAGAAGCCGUUCUACUAACAUUCACAAAAAGAGGUAAGAUCAGAGCAGAUUAACUGUCCUCAAGAUUUCAGCAGUGCAGCAUGACAUUAAGUGCUAUUCAGGUCAUCUGGUGAAAAUACUGUAUUUUUAAUAUCGCAAUAUAUAUCGCAGGGUUGAAAAAAUCGCAAUAUUAUUUUUUUCCAAUAUCGUGCAGCCUUAAUACAUAUGUUGUGUUAAUUUAUCUUUGACAUGUACAGUUGUUUGGUGUACAUAUUUAUUAUUUUGUUUGGUGUUUUUGUUUCUAGUUGUUUUUUGUUGUUGUAGUUCUUAAAGUUUGAGAUAAAUAAAGAAGAAGAAGAAGAAACGGAACAAGAGGAAGACUCUCAAACUCCAACAUGCAGAGGUUAUUAAAGCUGCAGCGGUCCUGAAGAUCAACUGAACCAACAUUUAUUCACCUCAUGGAUCACUGAAACACUUCCAACUAGUGUCAUAUUUCUGUGUAUGUGUGUCUAAUGAGGCAGGUUUGUAUUUUGUUGCAUGUUCUUGGGUGUCAUGUUAUGUUUCUGAAUUCUCUAAAAUUAUUUUUGCAGUUUCUCAUGUUGUUCACUUUCCCUCAGAAGAAUGUCUGCCAGGUGGUGCUUUGUCCUGUUUAAUCCUUAAGAGAGGAGCGUUCAGUAUAUGUGUUUGUAUUCAGUCUGUUUUAAGAUGCUGUCAUGUUGUGAUCUGUUAAAGAAGAUAUGAAACUUAAAGUGCAGUUUAACUUCAACUCAAUCAGCACUCACACACAUCGAUAUACUGAUCGGAUUUUAAAUACUCAGCCCUCCGAAAAGGCUUGACAGGAAGCACACUCAAGGUACAACUAAUGUUUUGUUCUUGGACUUCUUUUAUUUUUUGACCACACAGGUGACACAGGUCUUUUCUCUUUUACCGCAAUCUUAUUUUUGCUAACUGUCUUUUCAGCCUUUGUUAUACUUAUAAUCUUUUCUUAUUUAACCUAUCAGGCCUUAUAUUGAUAGUUUUUUUUCUUGCUCAUUUUUAUUAUUCUAUUUUAUCAUUACUAUUAUGAUCAUAUUAUUUUGUUAUUUUAUUAUCAUUAUUAAGAUUGUCUUUUUAUAUUUACUACCCUGUAUCCUGCUUUUAACCCCCCUUUUUAAUACAUUUCUUAUUCUUACCUAUUUUAUGUUUUUAUUCUGGUCCUCAUGGUCUCAUUUUAUGUAUAACUGCAAUAAACACAGUGAACCUAACUGGUUAAACACAGUAUCACAGUACCAACAGUAGCAGCUUACAUUACAAGCUAAAUGCUAAUAACAGCCAGCUAAGCGCUAGCUUGUAAUGCUAAUGGAGUUAGCCUUGCAUGCUAAUAGGGAGCUAGAGAAAAUGCUAACGGAAGCUAGCGGCGCUAAUCAAAUGCUAACCACGGACACUUAAUUACACUCUCUAAUUCAACAUUCUCUUAUUUCUCUCCAAGGACAAUGAAAUAGGCACCAAAGCGUUAUAUAUUCAGAGGCUACACAUUGUUAGCAGGUUAUUUCUUACCAAUGGACUGUUCGCUUCUGCCAAACUCGGACACAACUGUCGUGACAAGUAACACCGGAAGUCCGCGGACCUUUCAAAAUAAAAUGCAGAGCUACAAAACUCUUAAACUACUCAGAGCAACAAAUAAUGAUUUAAUAAUGCUUGUCUUGAUAUAUACACCUUAAAUCUCUUUCAAGAUUAUUACUCUUACUUACAGAAAACCUGAUCCAGCUGCAGGACCCACAUCUAGGACCUGUAACACCUGUGAGUGACCACAUCAUGGAAAUCCUGCAGACCACAUGAAUCCAUGACCCAGAAAGACCUGUAACAUGACAUCCAGCAGAAACAGACCAAAUAAAGAAAAACAGGUUAGGUGCUUUCAGUGACUCAACUUGAUGAUUUUUAUUGUUUUCACCCACAAUCUGAGCUGAGUCAGAAACAGAAAAACAGUCGGACUAAUAUAUGUGAUUAUUAUAAAAGUGAUUAGAAAGCUCAUAACAUGUUGAUCUGCUAAAAGUCUCAUUCUAGAUGUCUUUACAAACACACUGAUCCAACAGAAGCAGACAGAAAUAUCCAUCGAUCACAUGAACACAAAUAUUCAGCAAACAGAGAAAGAAACAGAUCAUCUGAAGAGUUUUUGGGGACGACUGGAAAGACUUUAGACGCUUGGAUUUGGGACAGGAAAUAAGGUCGUCCUUUUUUAUCUUUCUUUCAAUAUUUUGACGUCAGUUUUUUCUAAAGUCUCAGACCUUCAACAUCUGCACCAACUGAAGGUGAUUUGAACAAACGAUCAUCUUGAUGUUGUUGAUAUCAAAAUUCAUGAAGAUUUUUCAAAAUGAGAAAUACAAUCAGUUAUCCACAAUCACUGUCCUUAAAGCUGCGACCAAAUCAGCAUCUUUAGAAAAGUGUAGCGAUUUGAAUUUAUAAUAAAUGUCUGAGGAUUAAUAAUCUCAAGUUAUGACAUUUAUGCACUCGUUGAAAGAGGCACCACCCACCCUUAAUGGUGGAAAAAUAAAGAAAACUAAAGUUUAAUUCAGAAAUCAAACAUCAAGUCAAAUCUUAAAUUAAUCAAUCUCAUACCUUGAGCUGAGAUUCUCAUUUCAGGGACUCCACUUCUGGAAGAACACUAAAAGACCAGAACUUAGAAAUAAUGAUGUUUAAUACAGGAUAAAUGAUGGUACAACACACAUGCAAUAAAUGAUAAGAUAAUGAGGAUAAAAAAUAAUAGGUGAACAAAUAAAGAUUCUAAGUCAGGCUAGGAGCACUAAAGUUAAUGAUAGUGAGUGAAUAUGCUCGAACAUAUUAACCUACACUAUCUUUGGUGUCAAGGUAAAUUUGGAUGUGGAUUUGGAGGAAUCCAAGAUUACCAGAAUAAGUGGAUAUCUGAGUUAUGACCGCAUGAGACAGCAUCAGCCCUCUUUGGAGCUCUGGAGGUCUGCAUACUUAAGUAAGACUGGUCCUUGGAGAAGAUGGAGCAGGUUCCGAAGGUCCGGGCUACCGGCCGAAGUCAGCCGAAGGAUGGGCCAGGAGUCGUAGCACUCGGGCCUGAAGUAAAGCCGGCGCCUGUGGAUCCUGUGGAUGCUCGUUUGGAUGCUUCUUUGGUCUCACUCAAAAACUCUGGCGCAGAGGAUGACCCGGGCCUGCUGGGUUGUGUUCAGAGGUGACUUUGAAAUCUCGCAGAUAACUCAGAAAAACGAGGCUCGAUGACCAGAGAAAACUUUCAAAAAUGGCUUCGCGAAAUUAAAGAAAAAUCAAUCAAAGGCUUAAUCUUGAAUUGCUAUGCGCACAAAAAGUUGAAGUUUCAAAACUUGAACGAAGACGAUGUUAAAGAAAAUCAACGUGAAUCAACGCAAAACUUAGAAGACUAAGAAAAAGUAAGACUAAGUAGUAAAAGCUAAACGAAAACUUAAGAGUAGAAAAGCAAAAAUAGAAGAGAGGCAACAAGAGUACAAAGGGAACAAGCAACGUGAGCACCCCCCCCCUUUCUGGUUUUAUCUUCUCACACUGGGAGUGUCUCUGGCGUGUGUGUGUGAAGAGAAAGAGGAGGGGUCGUGGGGUCUCCAAGCAGAGGAGACCUCAGAUCUCUGAUUAUUUGAUCUAACAUAUACUUUUGGCUGGUAAAAGAGUCAGAUCUGAUACUCACUCACUAUGAUUAAUAUCAUUGAAUGCUUGGUUUCAUGAUAAAUAAUUUGAUACUAAACACAUAUAAAGAAAUGUAGGAUCACAUCAAACAUUCUCAUUAUGUUUCAAGUAUCACAUUAAACAUGCUAAAUUACUCUGAAAUGAAACAGAGAGUAACACAUGGAAACUGUGAACAACAAAAGAGUAAAUACAUGUGAAUGAACUUCAUCGUGAUUACUAAUGGAUUCUAAAUACUCACAUUCAGAUUAUUCAAUGACAUUAUAACCACCUAAUGGUUAAAAAUACUAAAUAAACAACUAAAAUAUAAACCAAACAUUUCUAAACUAUUUCUGUUACUUAGAGGAAACUUAUGAUCCAUAGUCAAUAAAUGUAACUCUUAAAAGUUGAGGAAACAGUCUGAAAAGCUGUUGGUCUAAAGAAACUAAAGAACAAAGGAAUUAUUCUGUCAGAGUGAUAACUCAGCUUCUGGAGCACAUAGAACAAUGAGAAACAUCUCAUUUUAACACAAAUUUCAUGAUUGGACAGAUUAGUACAUUGCUGAAUACAUAAGAUGUCAUGAUCAGUCAUUUGUAUUCUUUCAUCAAAGGAAUGCAGUUUUUUAUCAGAACAUGGUUGAGCAGGGUUUUACGACCGAGGGACCAGAUAAGGAAACUUUCCUGUGAGGAAUGUGUGAGUUUCACACCCAGGGUUGUCUUGAUUGCUACAAAAGAAUGAAAAAGCUGAAAUGAAGAACUAAACCGAAAGUUUCUGGUGAGACUGAUCCACAAACAUUUACAAACCAGAACAUUUCAAGUGUUCAAUGAUCUCAUUACAUGUUUUUGGUCUGAUGGACUCAAAAUUCUCUUUAUUUGGGUUCAAUAAACUUAGCAGAGGCUCCAACAGACCGGUGCUUAAAAGACAGGAAAAACAGUCCAGCAUAUAGCGGCUCAGUGAAUGUGGUCUGGACUCUGUGGAGGAGAGUCAUGGUUUCAGAGACGCUGUAGAAGGACAGAAUACCUGCUCUGUGAUCCAGGUACACUCCUACUCUGGAGGACAGAGGACCUGAGACAUCAGUGAGGACUUCGUUGUGAACAAAUUGAUAAAUGUCUUUAGAGCAGUCUAACGUCCAAGAUUUGUCAUUUCCUCCAAAUAAACAAUCAUCUGAGUCCCCGUCUCUGCUGAUCGUCUUGUAUGCGACUGCUACACUUACCCUGUUCCCUCUCCAGUCCACCUCCCAGUAACAACGUCCAGUCAGACUCUCUCUACUCAGGACCUGAUCAUAAUAAGUGAAUCUGUCUGGAUGAUCAGGAUAAGACUGUCGUUGUCUUGUUAAUGUUGCUUUUCUGUUUCCUUUAGAUAAUAUCAGAUAUCUGUUUGCUGUGUUUGGAUCCAGUGUGAUUCUUCGUGAAUAUCUUAGGAAAUCAGCUCUGGUCUUGGGUUCUGGUUCUAACAGUAAAACAUCCACUUCAGUCACUGCCUGUGAGACGUUUGUCCACAUCUUUGUCAGAAGAUCCUGGAGUUUAUCACUAACCUCUGACACAGCUGCUGUCACCUCCUCAAAGUAUCUCUGAGGACGGAUGUUGAUCCUGGAUGAGUCUGCAG
rnacentral:lncRNA from 1 species